ensembl:lncRNA
GUUUAUUGUAUCUUGGUUCACUAUGCUUGCAGGAGUUAAAUUAUGUGAAAGAACUGGACUUUCCAUUUGCUGUACUGGAAUACUGAGUAACUUGCAUGGAUAGACUCCACCUUCAGGAUGUCACAGAAACCAAGCUGAACCGUGACAUUGAUGUUAGGUAUUUUAUCUAAAUGUCUGUGAGAUUAACAGAACAUGUUUCCAUGAUACCAUGUAUGACAAUUGCCUGCAUGUCUGGAACCUUUUAUAGAAGCAAAAACUGAAGUGGCUUGUUCUGUGAAUACUAACAGGAAUCCUAAGAAUCACAGAAUGGCAGAGGUUGGAAGGGACCUCAAGUGAUCAUUGAGUCUAACCCCCCUGCUAAAGCAGAUACCGCAAUAUGUCACAGAGCCCUCUUGAGGAGGAGUGAGAGUGCAGUUUGGUGGACAUCAGGCAAUCAGCCAAGCUUUUAAAGGUAAGAAAGAAGAAACCAUCAAAACAGCAGCUAUCAAAAUGUGGAUUAUCAAUGAUGAUGACAUGAUGAUUAUGCAAUAAAGUACUUCAAUAGUUACUGGAACGUGGAACAAGAAAGCGAGAAUGAGUCAAAUCUGAUGCUCUUUGGAAAGAUGAGGUCAAGGGAGGUGAUUCUGUUCCUCUACUCUGCUCUCGUGAGACCCCUCCUGGAGUACUGUGUCCAGUUCCAGGGCUCCCAACACAAGAAGGAUAUGGAGAGGUUGGAGCAGGUCCAGAGGAGGGCCAAGAAGAUGAUCAGAGGUAUGGAGCACCUACCCUAUCAGAACAGGCUGAGACACCUGGAGCUCUUCAGCCUAGAGAAGAGAAGGCUCUGGGGAGACCUUAUAGCAGCCUUCCAGUACCUGAAGGGGCCUACAGGAAAGCUGGGGAGGAACUUUUUAUAAGGGUAUGUACUGAUCGAAUGAGGGGAAAUGGUUUUAAACUGUAAGAGAGUAGAUUUAGAGUAGAUAUUAGGAAGAAAUUCUUCACUGUGAGGGUGGUGAGUCACUGGAACAGGUUGCCCAGUGAGGUUGUGAAUGCCCCCUCUCUGGAAGCAUUCAAGGCCAGGCUGGAUAGGAAUUUGAGCAACCUAGUCUAGAGUCUAUUUGAGCAACCCAGUCUGUCCCUGCCUAUGGCAGAAGGGUUGGCACUAAAGGUCCCUUCCAACCCAAAUCAUUGGUUCUAUGAUUCUAUGAUUCUGUGACUGUUAUUAGGAAAUGACUAUAUAAGCUGAGUCUUUUUAAUUUGGACAUAUGCUCUGCAGUGCCAUCUACAGUAUUUUGGUCAAGACUGAGCAACUUAACUGGAAAUCUUGCAUUUUGCUCUAUAAAGGAAGGAUAAAGCAGAAAGUGAGCAUAUAUCAAUAUUGAACAAACUUUACAAGGCCGAAUAAUAAAUUAGCUGGAGAUCUAUGGACGCUCUAUUGACAACUGAGCUUUGAAAUCACUUUGAAAAUAAUUUUUAAAAUUGUUUAGCCAGUAAUGAUUAGAACAUAACCAUUAUAUAUUCACUUACCUGCUUACUAUUUUGGAAAAGUUUCACAAG